rnacentral:misc_RNA from 1 species
GAUGAAGAACGCAGCGAAAUGCGAUAAGUAAUGUGAAUUGCAGAAUUUAGUGAAUCAUCGAAUCUUUGAACGCACAUUGCGCCCCUUGGUAUUCCGAGGGGCAUGCCUGUUCGAGCGUCAUUACAACCCUCAAGCUCAGCUUGGUAUUGGGGCCUGCCAGCCUGGCAGCCCUUAAAGUCAGUGGCGGUGCCAUCGGGCUCUCGUCCACUAAGAUACCACCCAGUUUGACCUCGAAUCAGGUAGGGAUACCCGCUGAACUUAAGCAUAUCAAUAAGCGGAGGA